rnacentral:rRNA from 1 species
UACGUAGGUGACAAGCGUUGUCCGGAUUUACUGGGCGUAAAGAGCGCGCAGGCGGUCGUUCAAGUCGAGUGUGAAAGCCCCCGGCUCAACUGGGGAGGGUCACUCGAUACUGAUCGACUCGAAGGCAGGAGAGGGUAGUGGAAUUCCCGGUGUAGUGGUGAAAUGCGUAGAUAUCGGGAGGAACACCAGUGGCGAAGGCGGCCGC